rnacentral:rRNA from 1 species
GCUAGGUCCCAAGUAUGAUUAAGUGGGAAACGUUGUAGGAAGGCCCAAACAGCUAGGAGGUUGGCUUAGAAGCAGCCAUCCUUUAAAGAAAGCGUAACAGCUCACUAGUCGAGUCGGCCUGCGCGGAAGAUGUAACGGGGCUAAAUCAUACACCGAAGCUGCGAAUGAAUACUUGUAUUCAUGGUAGGGGAGCGUUCUGUAUGCCACUGAAGGUGAAUCGAGAGGUUUGCUGGAGGUAUCAGAAGUGAGAAUGCUGACAUAAGUAACGAUAAGAGGGGUGAAAAACCUCUCCGCCGAAAGACCAAGGUUUCCUGUCCAACGUUAAUCGGGACAGGGUGAGUCGACCCCUAAGGCGAGGGCGAAAGCCGUAGUCGAUGGGAAAUAGGUUAAUAUUCCUAUACUUCUUGUUACUGCGAUGGAGUGACGGAGAAGGCUAGGCCAGCACAGCGAUGGUUGUCUGUGUUUAAGGUUGUAGGCUGGAGAUUUAGGCAAAUCCGGAUCUCUAAGGCCGAGAGCUGAUGACGAUUAUCUCUUAGGAGAUAAGAAGUGGUUGAUGCCAUGCUUCCAGGAAAAACUUCUAAGCUAUAGGUAGCAAGGAAUCGUACCGUAAACCGACACAGGUGGUCAGGUAGAGAAUACUAAGGCGCUUGAGAGAACUCUGGUGAAGGAACUAGGCAAAAUGGUACCGUAACUUCGGGAGAAGGUACGCCCUCAUUACGUGAAGAGACUUGCUCUCGGAGCGGAAGAGGGUCGAAGAUACCAGGUGGCUGCGACUGUUUACUAAAAACAUAGCACUCUGCUAACACGAAAGUGGACGUAUAGGGUGUGACGCCUGCCCGGUGCCGGAAGGUUAAUUGAUCGGGUUAGCCCCUUGUGGGCGAAGCUCGUGAUCGAAGCCCCGGUGAACGGCGGCCGUAACUAUAACGGUCCUAAGGUAGCGAAAUUCCUUGUCGGGUAAGUUCCGACCUGCACGAAUGGCGUAACGAUGGCCACGCUGUCUCCACCAGAGACUCAGUGAAAUUGAAUUUGCGGUGAAGAUGCCGUAUACGCGCGGCUAGACGGAAAGACCCCGUGCACCUUUACUAUAGGUUCACACUGGACUUUGAGUUUAUUUGUGUAGGAUAGGUGGGAGACUUUGAAGCAAGAGCGCCAGCUCUUGUGGAGUCGUCCUUGAAAUACCACCCUAUUAAAUUUGGAGUUCUAACUUAGACCCGUUAUCCGGGUCGAGGACAGUGUGUGCUGGGUAGUUUGACUGGGGCGGUCUCCUCCCAAAGAGUAACGGAGGAGUGCGAAGGUAACCUCAGCACGGUCGGACAUCGUGCAAUGAGUGCAAUGGCAUAAGGUUGCUUAACUGCGAGACUGACACGUCGAGCAGGUACGAAAGUAGGUCAUAGUGAUCCGGUGGUUCUGAAUGGAAGGGCCAUCGCUCAACGGAUAAAAGGUACGCCGGGGAUAACAGGCUAAUACCCCCCAAGAGUUCACAUCGACGGGGGUGUUUGGCACCUCGAUGUCGGCUCAUCACAUCCUGGGGCUGAAGCAGGUCCCAAGGGUAUGGCUGUUCGCCAUUUAAAGUGGUACGCGAGCUGGGUUUAGAACGUCGUGAGACAGUUCGGUCCCUAUCUGCCGUGCGCGUUGGAAAAUUGAGAAGAGUUGCUCCUAGUACGAGAGGACCGGAGUGAACGAACCUCUGGUGUUCGGGUUGUCAUGCCAGUGGCAUUGCCCGGUAGCUAUGUUCGGAAAGGAUAACCGCUGAAAGCAUAUAAGCGGGAAGCCUCCUUCAAGACUAGUUUUCCCUGGACC